UACGUAGGUGGCGAGCGUUGUCCGGAUUUACUGGGCGUAAAGAGCGCGCAGGCGGUCGUACAAGUCGCGUGUGAAAGCCCCCGGCUCAACUGGGGAGGGUCACGCGAUACUGUUCGACUCGAAGGCAGGAGAGGGAAGUGGAAUUCCCGGUGUAGUGGUGAAAUGCGUAGAUAUCGGGAGGAACACCAGUGGCGAAGGCGACUUCCUGGCCUGUUCUUGACGCUGAGGCGCGAAAGCUAGGGGAGCAAACAGG
rnacentral:rRNA from 1 species